CUCUUAUCGAGAGUGGCGGAGGGACUGGCCCUUUGAAGCCCGGCAACCUUCCAGCGCCUAUAUGGCCUGGAUUGGUGCCAAUUCCAGCAGGACGCGCAUGUGUCCUGAAAGAUGAGAG
rnacentral:ncRNA from 2 species